ACAGCUGCCAAGUGGCCGAGACUAAAAACCGAGCACCGAAAGAGCAACAGAGAAACAGAUAUGGGGACAGGGACACUGCGACCCGAUACAGUGGAUACCGAGUAUGAUGCACCACAUCAAAACAAGGCAACUUGAUAGAUAAUUACUGUACUAUUUUCCCGAUUUUGCCAGGAGUUUUCCCUGUGAGAGCUUCUGCUUUAGCUGCUGCUUCUGUGACUGCAGCUCGCCUCAUUUCGAUUCAUUUGCGCUUGUCUCAGAUUCCUUCAUUCCUGGACUUCCUUUGGCUUAAAAAUGGUUGGGUGUGCGUGUGUGAGUUUGGGUUUCCCUGCGGCUUUUGUGUGCUGCAACUCGGCUCCUCCAUUUCCAGUUUUCGCACAUCUCUCCCCGUGCUCUUCCGUGUAUUUGGCAAGUGCUGGCAAGUGGAGGAGAGAAAGAGGCGCACAAACAUCCAUUUGCCCAUGAGAACGGUGAAUCCAGAACCGAGAACCCAGCGUUGAGAAACCGAGAGAACCCGAGAGCUGCGUUUUCAGCAAGCAAAAAUAAAAAAAAAACAAAAAAAUAAAACCUA